rnacentral:rRNA from 1 species
GUGGGGAAUUUUGGACAAUGGGCGCAAGCCUGAUCCAGCAAUGCCGCGUGCAGGAAGAAGGCCUUCGGGUUGUAAACUGCUUUUGUACGGAACGAAACGGCUCUGGUUAAUACCCUGGGCUAAUGACGGUACCGUAAGAAUAAGCACCGGCUAACUACGUGCCAGCAGCCGCGGUAAUACGUAGGGUGCAAGCGUUAAUCGGAAUUACUGGGCGUAAAGCGUGCGCAGGCGGUUUUGUAAGACAGGCGUGAAAUCCCCGGGCUCAACCUGGGAAUUGCGCUUGUGACUGCAAGGCUGGAGUGCGGCAGAGGGGGAUGGAAUUCCGCGUGUAGCAGUGAAAUGCGUAGAUAUGCGGAGGAACACCGAUGGCGAAGGCAAUCCCCUGGGCCUGCACUGACGCUCAUGCACGAAAGCGUGGGGAGCAAACAGGAUUAGAAACCCGAGUAGUCC